UACGUAGGGGGCUAGCGUUGUCCGGAAUCAUUGGGCGUAAAGAGCGUGUAGGCGGCCCGGUAAGUCCGCUGUGAAAGUCGGGGGCUCAACCCUCGAAUGCCGGUGGAUACUGUCGGGCUAGAGUGCGGAAGAGGAGACUGGAAUUCAUGGUGUAGCAGUGAAAUGCGUAGAGAUCAUGAGGAAGACCAGUGGCGAAGGCGGGUCUCUGGACAGUUCCUGACACUGGAGACACGAAGGCCAGGGGAGCAAACGGG
rnacentral:rRNA from 1 species